UAAGCAGCUUCCGCGCUUCAGGUCCCGCGGCUCUGCGUGUUCGGACCCUCAGGGCCGAGCGCCAAGUGCCCAACUCGCUGCUCCGUGGAGCUGACCGCGUUCUGAGAUCUACAGAAACACAAGAAAACUUCACAUGUACAAAAUGAUAGGAGACAGCAGUUGAGGAAUACCAAUUAAUUGACAGGGUUAUCUUCAUUAUCACAGUCUGGAACUGGAGCUGGUGAGUUGAAUUGGAACAGCAGGCUUCCAGAGACAGAGGCCAAGAAGAAGGGGCAUUCAUGCCCCUCACUCCCUAAGAUCUCCAAUAGCCUCCACCCCCUCUCCGAACAAGCCACCACAAUAAAUGCAUGUGUACACUACGUAAAAACAAUGCAUCCGUGCCUACCAACGGAAAAAGAGCUUCAAGCCACUCCAAAUAAACAUACAUUCCAAGUACAUGAGACACCUGAUUCCCCCUUUUGCUACCCUCUUUUAUGGAAUCUCUUCUAUUGAGAUUCUGGAACCAUCACUGGCUCUAGGAAGGAUCUGAGACAGGUCCAAAUCCUUUUCCAUAUGUAUUGGUAUAUGCUUAAAAUUCUACUAGUUUUCUUCUACUUCAGGCCAAGAUGGCUUAACAGGGACUAAAUAUACCUCCCACCGGAAACGACCAAAAACUAGGAAAAUAUAAGAAGAAAGAAAAAAUCAGCUUUUAAGACACUGGACAUCAGACAACAUAAGAGGGAGAGCUCUGAGUAGUGGGAAACAAGUUCUGGAGUACAGAAGUCUAAAAUGGGUCUCACUGGGCUAAAAUCAAGGUGUCAGCAGGCCCACAUUUCUUCUGGAGGCGCAAACCCAAUUCCUAGCCUUUUCCUUGGCCUGUGGCCUCUUUCCACCUUCAAAACGAACUAUUCCAAACAAGCUAUGAUUCUCUUGGCAAAACAGCCCCACCAAGAGUCUCACCAGCCUCUCCCUUGGGAACAUAAAGACUCAGACAAGGGGGGGAAAGACAAGGCUAGACACCUGUCCCCAAUGGGUAAAGGAAGAACACACCUGGAAAGCAGCUCUGACAACGGGAGCCAAGGGGAGGAAAACAGUAAUUGGAGAAGAGAGACUGCUUCCAAUCUGUUGCUGGUUUAUAAGGUAAAUCUAUUCCUGGAGUAAAAGGGAUACAGUAGCAGCACAAUAAAAACUGGGACAAGGCGUGGCUCUGCUAGAUUGUAUCUCCUGCAAGGCUCCACUCUGAUGACAGUCGCACCAAGGGCGUUUUUCCAGUCCGACCUGAGCCCAGUGUGGAUCAAGCGAUCCGCCUGAGAUUGCCAAGCAUCCUGUGCACAUCUAUCUCAUUCAUUCAUUCAAACUGAACACCUAACAUGUUCUAAAGUCUAAA